GACAUUUUGACCUCAAUA
rnacentral:rRNA from 1 species